rnacentral:lncRNA from 1 species
CAUCAUGUGUCAACUUCACUUAAUGAGAAUUGCCUAUCAUUGUACCUUCUGCUGAUAAUCUCUAUCUGAUUUUAGAUGCAAGAAUCUUCACACAAAUUAUGAGGUAACUGCACCUGUUUAGUCCUUCAUGGCAAGGUUAAUAUGUUGCACAAAGCUUCCAAACUUCAUGAUAAAAAUUCAUUUCUUGUCAUGAAUUUAAAACUUCAUGAAAGUAUGCCACAUGGUAUAUGAGGUAAAAAAUCUAAACAAGAGAAGAUAACUUCUCAUGAAUGAUGGAUAUACUUCCACAGGGCUGGGGAGAACAUGGAAAACUAGUGUGCCACAUUUAGUUUUGAAACUCCUAUAAAGGUGGUAGGUCUCAUCAUGUGAUGGUUGCUGUGAUUUAGACCAGAAAUAGCAGCCAUUAACUCACAGGACUUGAAUGUGUACAUUCACAAAGAUCUCGAUGAAUCAGAGAGGAUGUAGAUAGUAAUGUCUUGUUACCAAUAUGAUCACUCAGACAUUUCCCUAGAAGCACCUCCAAUGCAGAAGUGCAGGACAUACUUCUUCGCCAAAAAAAAAGGUGUGGGGCAUAGUUCUGAGCUAGCAGAAAGUAGAUCCAAAAAAAUAUUUUGGGUUGGUAAAAACAAAAGCUAGUAGGAUAUUGGUCCACAUGACCCUAGAUCAGACAUAACUUCAUCAAAUCAAGAAUUUAACUCGCAAAUGAAUUUCAGAGGAAAUAACAAUAAAACAGAAAGAAUAAGGUAAUAUACAAGAUACUUACUGCUAUUAUAAAUAGUACACAUGGUAAUCCAUCCAAAAAGAGACUUCUGAUUCCCAGAUUUUAUUUACCUAGAGGACAAAUUAUCCUACUUACCUACAAAAGAAUCACGGCAAGCAGUUCUAGAUAGAUGAUAUACAGUGAAAGGAAAAACAGGACUCUUGGAUUCUGUUGACUCACCAACUAUAGUGACAUGCAUUAUCAGGAGAUAGAAUAAGAAACAUCAUCAUCCUCAAUGUAAUGAAUCUUCUUCUUGUGUGAAAUUGGUGAAAAAAUGGAUCUUAUAAAGCAACUCAAAGGAUCCUGCAAGCCUUCCAUUUCAUAAUGACCAAAUCGCCAAUCCCGUAAUAUGAAAGGUCUUUGAAUAGGCCGAUCUAGACCCCCUGUAACAAAAAGAUGGCCAUAAUGGUUAGAUGGAGGUACCAAUCAUGGUUUAUACCAACUAAUAUUUGUAUUUCAGCUGUUUUCUUCCUAGGCUCGUAAUUAAAUAACUCAGCUGAGUAAGUAAUAGGACGAACUGAAAAUAAUUCAUAUAAAAAAGAAACUAACAAACACAUGUGCAACACUCUUGACUCUGGAAAGCCUGCAGAGAAAGCAGCUGCUGUUGACAUAUUUUACAAUCAGUCAAUAUCUGUUGUUUAUCCUACUUAUCAACACUACCUAUAGAUAAUAUCAAUUUACUACAAUAUCAGAAUGUUUUGGAAAGAAUCACCACCUACCUGCAUACAUCCGACCAUACUUAUCUACUGCCCUAAAAAACGGGCGUGUUUUCUUUUGAAAUGCAGCUUGUUGCAGUUCCCUCCAAGCACACGCUCUGUCCUGUCUUGUUAUUUUCCCAGUUGUAACAACCUGGCAUUCAAGCGCAUCUUGUUAAAGAUCAACACAGAACCAUCAAAUGCUAAUAUGCAAAAAAAAAACAGAGAGGGAAAUUAAGUUGUCACAAGUCUAGACAAUUUGAUGAAACAAGGGACGCAAGAAAAAAGAAUUCAGUAACAUUACAAAGAAGAAUUUUCCCCUCUUUUUCCCGUUCCACGGACAAUGGAUACACCGGGGCAGUAUAAUUUGCUGAAAUCAGAGCUCACCUUGGUGAAUAAAUAGUAUGAAGGACGAGGCUUCCGUGCUAGAUUGUUGGCACGAUCAACAGCAACAAGCCCAAACUUGGGACCAUACCCAUCAGCCCAUUCCCAAUUAUCGGAUGUUGUCCAGAAUAGAUAACCAAGCACACGCACACCCUUCAAAACAAUAUGCCUAUCAGUGCUCAAAGUUGAGCAUAUAGUAAAGAAUAUUUGAUUGCAAAUUAAUUAAGAGAGGACCAUUAUGAUUGCAGCAUAGAUGGCUAACAGGUGCUCCAGAAUGUAUGGUUUACGAAUCAGAUCAGUCUCAUCAGAAACUCCAUUUUCAGUGAUCAUAAAAGGUAUAUUUAAGCUCUUGUAUCGUUCAUUAAACUGAAUCAGGACACGGAAUAGCCCAUCAGGAUAAACACCACGACCAGAUUCGCUGUACUCAUCAUUGUCCACAAGUUUUAGACCAGGACCCGAUAUCACCUCCUGCAUGAAAGUGGAGCAUCAACUGCUGUUGUUGACACAUUCGAAUUUGAGCCAUUUGUCUAAGAAGCUAGUACAAAGUUACCUGCCCAUAGUAGUUGAUGCCAAUAAAGUCCAAUUUAUCACAUAUGCUAUCAAUGUAAGGGAAAAGGGUCAAUGAAUUAGCUAGUGUGACAGCCGCAACAUCAAAUAGUCCAUACGGCCGUGUAAAUGAUACAUGAUGAGCGACACCAACAAUUGGCUUCCUUUUAUUUUUACUGUCAACCGACAAAUGAACUAUUAGAAAAUGAGAGGAACACAAACAUCAAAUCCUUCAAGUCAGAACAAUAGAUAUUCAUUAUAGAAAAUUGCAUUUCAAGUAGCAUACUAUUUACCUCUCCAAAUGUAUGUAAUCAUAGGCUUCUGCAUGUGCAAUGGCCAUCCAAUGCAACGCUUGAUUGUAUACGCCAGUUGGCAAAGCAGAUGUUGCCAUUUCAAUUGCAUUAGGGUCUCCACCAGGCCAAGCACCAGCACAAUAGGUCAGCAUCACAAACACAUGAGGCUCAUUGAAAACCACCCAGUAAUCCACUAAAUCUGAUACACAAUCAACGACAAGCCUGCAGAUCCAAAACUAACUUCAUAUAAAAUAUUUGUCUCGUAGAAGAGUAUUGAAAGCACAGUUGAAAGCUAGAAAGGAUUACCUCACAAAAUCCAUGAAGUACUUGACAGUUUUUUCCAUCUUCCAUCCCCCAUAUUCUCCAGCCCAAGGUGGAAGUGAGUGAUGAAAUAGUGUAAGCAUCACUUUCAUUCCAUAUUCAUGAACCUUUUGGAUGAUCCACCUAUAACGCUCAAGUGCUGCAAAAUUGACCUAGAAAAACAUGAUGUCUCUGUUAUUCCACCAACACAAAAACUCUACACACUACAGAGAGAAGAGAGAAUAUAAAUGUUUGGACAAAGCAUAUGAACUGCACAGUAGGUUCCUAAGACUUACUGAGCUCUUGAACUCUUCAUCAGUUGGUUCCUUAGGCAUUACCCUUGUCCAGUCAAUCCCCAUGCGGAAAACACUGAUCCCAGUUUCCUUGGCAAGUUUCAAUUCAGUAUCAGGAUCAGACCAAAAUUUAAGCCUUUCUUGCCUGAACAAAUACGAACAGUUUCUCCACAUGUGAGAGUCUAUUGUGCAUAAGCAACAUGUUACGCACAAUACAGUGUAGGAAAAAAGACAGCAUCCAGAAUAAUUGAACAGAUAACCAAAAAAGGUUGGAAGUGACAAAAGACAACAUGCACUUACGGGCAAGGAACAUUGUGCCAAGCUGCGACGUUGUGGCUGCAGUUAUCACCAGAACCAGAUUCACCACCCUCAGCAAACAUUUCAAAACCCCUGAGCAUAGCCUCCAUGGCAACCUUAAGAGGCUUCCUCCUCUCUCCUUCACCAGCCUUUUCCUCCCCUCUAGACCUGGAAGCCAACUGAGCACCUCCAUCACCGGCAGCCGACGCCAUCACCGCGUCUGCUGUCAUUUGGUCACGCAUGGCCUCCUUGUCGUCGCAGGAAUGCUCGAUUGCAAACUGAAGCCAAGCAUCCUCCAGCCUGUCCUCAACAUGCGCAGGCGCGGUCGCCAGCCCAAAGAAGAAACUGCCGUCUUCUGCACAUGAUUCGACACACCAUCAGGAAUUCCAUGCUGCUUGGAAUUGGCUGCUGGUACAUAAUCAGGCAGCUGGAGUUUGGAAUCUCAGAUUUGUGAAGGAAAGACUCGGACUUGAGCAAAUUAACAGAACUGUACGGAUUGUGAUUGAACUGAUGCACGGGUACAUACGCUGCACUUGCCAUUUCACAAGAGCCCACAUGUUUUAAUUCCAAAUUUUUUUUAGGGAAGACUCGGACUUGAGCGAAUUAACAGUACUGUAGUGGAUUUCGACUGAACUGAACUUGCCAUUUCACAAGAGCCCAUAUGUUUUAAUGUAUAGUUGCAUCAAUCAAUUCACAUCAUCUAGUGAUCAAUUACUCAUCUGAAAUUAAAAAAGGUGAGCAAUUUCAAAAAAUAAAUUGACUGAACCCAAACUGGUCAGUCGAUUGUGUUGUCCUGAAAACCAAAUUGGCAACCGCAUGCACCAAUGCCGCACCUUCAGAGCGAUGCACACUAACGAGAGAGCCAAUCAAUAGAAACCACUAGAAUACCGUUAGGAUUAGCACGGGAAAGAGGGGGAACGAGACCUGAGUCGUCGCCGGCGCCAGCGGAGGGGAGGGCGCGGAAGUCGGCGACGGGGUCGGCGGACUCGUCGAUGGGGUUCGGGAUGCGGCGGAGGUGGCGGCGCCGGUACCGCGCGAAGGAGGCCGCGUUGGCCGCCGUCGCGGCGGCCGCCACCAGGACGGCGAGCUUCGCCGCCGCCGCCAGGAACGCCGGGAGUGGCAUUUCCACAAUACUCGCGCGCUCCCUCCCUUCCUCCCUCCCUCGCGCUGCGGUUUUAAUUUAUUUUCCUGGGAAUUUUUUUUCCUCGGAGAAAUAGGAGUGGCGGGAACCAACGGGAUCCCCCGGGGAUGACCGGAUGAGGAGGAUCAGGUCGUUAUCGCCCGGACACGUGGCGGGAAGAGAUGGUGCGCGCCAGAUUUUGCCGGGGCCAGCUGGGCCUCCGCGGGGGGCCCACUUGGCCCGUUUUGACACGCUUAUUCGGAGUCAAACAAGGUGUGAUUUAUGCAUGGAUUCAUAUAUGGUUUCCAUCAGUCUACACAUGGAAUGAACUGAUUUUUAACAAAAUUUUGCAGAUUAAAAUUUUAAAUUAGAAAAAAAAAAGGAUUCAAAAUUUUAGUUCUGACAGGAGCUCCUCCCUGUUUCCCUUUUUUUUUGUUCGUUUUUUAGCGACCGGAAUGUGUUUGACUGUGAUCAUCCCUCGUAGAACCAUCACCUCAUAAAACUGCACAUUUCAUGUUACUUGUUAGAGCAGAUAAAUCGGAUUUUGUGCAGCCACACAACGGAGAAGAAACAUCGCGACGCCGGCGUAGAAAACAUGCGCACAAGUUUGUGGCUGAACCAGAUCCGAAAGAUGCCGCUCACGGCUCACGUCCACUCAAAAUUUCGCCUUGGAUUUUAGCGCAUUUCGUUAGGAUUGUUGGGGUUGGAUUUCGUAUACGCUAAACUCUCUCUGCUGCUUUGGCUCUUGUCAGUUUCUUACAAGACUACUCCCUAGAGACACAAUGGAGACACGGAAUGGAGAAUAAUGAACUGUUAGAGGGACAACAAGGCCCCGUUCAUGCUAAAGUUUCUAGUCACAUCGGAUGUUUGAUGCUAAUUAGAAAUAUUAAAUCUAGAUUAACUACAAAAUUAAUUGCACAAUUAGUCUAAUUCACAAGACAAAUCUAUUUAGCCUAAUUAGUCCAUGAUUUGACAAUGUGGUGCUACCGUAACCAUUGCUAAUGAUGGAUUAAUUAGGCUUAACAAAUUCAUCUCGCGAAUUAGCACAUAGGUUCUGCAAUUAGUUUUAUAAUUAGUUCAUAUUUAGUCCUUCUAAUUAACAUCCGAACAUCCGAUGUGAUACUGCUAAAGUCUAGCACCUGAUAUCCAAACGCCCCCUGAUUCGAUGGACUGCUACUACAAUGAAUCCAAAGCAAAUGAAAAUGAGAGAAAUAAAAACUACGAAAUGUACAUGGGUCGCUCACGGGCCGAAUCAGGAAAAUCUUAUCCAGCCCAAUUAGGAUCGACCUAUCCAGCCCAAUAACGGGUUCUACUUGGGCGUCGCUGCUGACGACGACGACUUCGUCGCUUCCGCCGCCGGCGAGGCCUUCGCCGAUUCCGUCGCUGACGCAUUCUUCGCUUCCGCCGCCGGCGUCGUCUUCGCCGCCGUCGCGUUUUUCGCUUCCGCCGCCGGCGCCUUCGCCGCUGUCACGUUUGUCGUCGCUUCCGCCGCCGCCGGCGCUUCCGCGGUUGUUGGCGCCUUCGCCGCCGCCUGCGGUGCCGCUGCCGCUUCCGUCUGGUUCCCCUUCUUUCCUGCUUGGCCACCGGAGGUGACGGACGGCGGCUGGAUCCACGAGUCGCCGAAGAUGUAGUGCGCGCCGACGAAGGGCUUGGCCUGCUCCUCCGUAAGGUCGAGCGCCCACCCCACCCGCUUCUUCUUCUUGGCGUCGGCGCCGGCGCCGAAGCACUUGAACUCGCCGUAGUAGAUGCCGCUGCUCUCCGGCUUGGCGACGUUCCAGCCGUCCCAGCCGAUGGGCACCACCUCCUCCCCCAUCUCCGUGUACGCGUACACCACCCGCGACGAGUCCCCCCAUGCCCGCCCCAGGUAGAUCUGGCCGCCCUUGACGCCGCCGAUGCUGCAGUUCUUGAAGGAGAAGCCGGAGUCGAUGGCGCCCUCGAUGGACUUGGUCCGCUGCUGCGCCGUGAGCACCGCCACCUCCUUCACCACCGACUCGAUCCGGCAGUCCUCGUAGAAGGAGCGGCCGAAGCCGAAGAUGAAGUCGACGCUGCCGCGGAUGAGGCAGUCCUUGAAGUAGUGGAGCCCCUUGUGGUCGUACAGCGUGUCCUGCCCGCCGUCGAUGGUGCAGUUGUAGAGCGCCGCCUUGGUCCCGAACAGCCUCAGCGCCACCGCCUGCCCGCCCUUGGCGCCGGGCUUCGCCAGCGGCGCGUCGUUCCUGAACACCACGCCGUAGGCCAUGAAGUAGUCCGACUCGACGGCCACCGUCGUGCUCCCGACGGUGCCGACGGGCUUCCCGUCCUUGCCAAGCGUCGCCGCCGUGUCGUUCCAGCUGAUGGUGGCCGGCUUCAUCGGGUCGGACUUGAAGGUGAUGAACGGCUUGCUGAUGUUGAGGAAGAGCUUCUCGCGGAACACCACGCCGGGCUUGAGGUCCAGGAUGACCCGCUUCGUGUUGCCGUCGGGGAUGUCAGCGAGCGCGGCGGUGAUGUUGGUGUAGUCGCCGCCGCCGCUGGGGUCCACGACGUACACCACCUUCUUCUCCUCGGCGGCCGAGAGGUUCGUGUCCAGGGUCUUGCCCCCUUCGCCGGCGGACUUCUGCGCGUACAGCGCCGCGUUCACCGCGUAGCUCUGCUGGUUCAGCGCGAUCCAGUUGCCGAACGACGCGCCAGCACCGCCCCCCGCCGCCGCGGCCGGCAGAAGCGACGACGCGAGGGCGGCGGCGAGGACGAUCAUCGGGACGACCGCCGCUGAUGAUGAUCGCCGCGCCAUUGUCGAUCGGCGGUGCAUGCUGGCCCGGCGGGUCUUCGUUCUCUCGACCGGGCACGAGCGUCUUUAAGGUGGGUGAUGGGCGGUGGCUGUUGGGCGGAGCGCGCAGGUAGCCAUGGGUGAGCUAAUUCGGGAGCUCCAUCGCCUCCAUGAGCGCGUGAACGCACGCACGUUGCGGCUCGCUUCUGAAUUCUUGCCGCUGUACUGCAGCUGCGGCUGCAGCUCCAUCAACACCGGUUCCUGUAGUUUUAGCAGGCUAGCUGUUGCAGGCAGCCGCAGCUGCAACAAUCUUUGGGCUGAGAUUGUUGUCCACAGAGGAUAUAGCCCACCUUUGCUGCAGCAGCAUGUCCACAGAGGAUAUAGCCCGCUGGCCCAAAGGUUUAAAAGCCCAGCCCACCUAAGCUGGCCGGGACCAGUUUUUUCGGCCCAUAUGGACUAAUAGGAAGAAGUUUUUUUUAGGACGCUCUAAUUCAUUCGAGUAAUAAGAAGAGAAGUAUAUUGUCUUUGGUUCUUUGUCCUUAGUUUUCCAUUGUACCGUGGCUUUGAAUUACCGAUUAUUAUCGCUAACACUUACUAUUAAGCAAUAUUCUUUUUUUCUCAAUUACAAGAACAAAUCGUAUGCCACUCCACACCACACUCACACUCACGCUUUGUGAUGCAAAAGUCUCGGGUAGAGUAAUGGUUUAUUUUGACUUUUGACAAAACUAAACGUUCCUAUAUUUUAGGAUGGCGGAAGUAAUCACUAACACUUACUACUUCCUCCGUUCCAAAUUAUAAAUCAUUUUGAUAUUUUUAGAUUCAUAAUUUUUACUAUAUAUCUAGACAUAAUAUAUAUCUAGAUGAAUAGCAAAAGCUAUGCACCUAGAAAUGGUAAAACGACCUACAAUUUGAAUAACGCGAGUAGUAAGCAAUAUUAUUUUUUUUUCUCAAUAACACGAACAAAUCACAGAGGCGAAGCUAGAUUAGAAGAUCCCGGGGUCUCAUGUAGAAGAGGACAGGGUCAUUUUGAACUACAAACAGUGAUUUGCCACUGUUUUCUGCAAAUUCAUCGGGGUCGGCUUACACCGAUAAGAAGCCUGGGCUCUGCCCCUGACAAAUCGUAUGCCACCCCACACGACACUCACUGACACGAUCCAAAUCCUCAUUUCUGAGAAUGAAAGUCUACGCACUUCCGUGAUAGUUGCCGGAUUCCGCUAGGGGCUGUGAGGCGCGGACGGUGGUGAUCUUCGGCUUCCGUGCAUGGGGCACGUGGCGAGCAUCCGGAUGGUGGGGUGGAGGGUACGCGGGUGCGGGAGCAGGUGAGUACGGCGGCGUCGCGCGUGCUGGCAGGGGGACGAGGCGCGGCCGUGAGCGGUGACCUCACGCCGUUGCUUUUUGCGAGAGAAAGCGAGCGGCGUCGGGGUGACGACGAUGAACAGCGGCAACGCGUGCAACUCACGCGAACUGCCAGCUUGGGCUGGGCUUGGCGUGAACAGCAGCAUGCAUGAGCGGUAGCAGGCCGCAUACUGGGCUCACGCGCAGACAAGGAAGGGAACGUGGGCUGGUGGUUUAGCGUGGGAUCAUGUUAGGCCUCGGUAGGUUAGCAGGCUUAGAUUAGUUAGUUAACAGGCCGCGGCCUGCAUGGGUUUGCGCGUGGAGGUUAGCUGGCCGGGCUGGUUAGAGAGGAUAGGUUUGACUAGUUAGUCAUUUAGUUUGUGUUUGAAUCUAACAUUCAAAUACAAACGGCACUCAAUUAAACCGAAAGAAAAAUCCAAUAAAUCCAAAUCACUAUGUUUAAAUCUGAAUGCACGAUUUUAAUUACUAUCUUUUGAAUUUAGGGAAAGAAAUGCAUGUAUUAGUAUGAUUCACACCGAUCAAACAAAAAGUUUUAAAUUUUUGCAAAAAUUGGCACAACUAAUAUCACUCAAUUUCGAUGGUUACGAAUACACGUUACACUAGUAGCCUCCUCCUUGCAUCUCCAAUUUAGUUUGUACCUUCCGAUUGGUCGAUACCAAAUACGAGCCAAAUUCAAUUCCCGCGCAAGUACGUACAGCGCAGAGGGGAGGACUCGUAUAAACCCGCAGCGUGCGGCACUGUAUGUGCUCAAAUUUCAAAAGGCCGGCCUCUCCGACGGUCAGCGCGAAAAUCCAGUCGAGCGAGAUGGGUAUCUCGUCGGUCCUCGCUUCCCCGGACGUACGUACGAUCCCGCCGCCGCCGCCGCCGCCGCCGACGAAGACGACGAGCUCAGUCGUCAUCGCCCAGUGCGUCCGGCCCCAAUGAUUAGCGCAGCUAAUCACGCACUAACUGCCCGCGAGAACAUUCAGCAGCCUCUAAUGGCUCGUGGACCUUGCGUGACACUCCAUCUGCUGACUAGUCGCCGGUCGCCGUGGCCGGGAAGCCCUGACGUGGACGGCAGGGCGGACCGCCCCGUGAUGAGCGCGUGCGAGCUAGCUGACGUGGCCGGCCUCCACGUGUCGGCUUCUAGAAGUGGCUGGACCUGGACGGCAGGAGCCGUUGGCCCACUCGCGUUCCCGUUCCCAGCUUCACGGAUGUGGACGGGGGCCAAUUCCACCACGUGCGGCUUCUCGUCCCUUUGCUCUCGUGGUGGUCCCAGCGCCCCCGAUCCAAACCCAGGCGGCCGCCGCCGGCCGGUGGCCUGAACAGCGGCGCGGCGGACAAUGCAUUCUGAGUUUCACACGCCAAGGUAGCGACACUCGAACCAUACAAAAUGGAAAUGAUCACGAUUUCAUUCCUCAAAUGUAGAGUUUCUAAUUUGUUCGAAUGAGUUCAUAAUUUUUGUUACUGAAAAGAUUUUUUUCCCGGUUGGUACGGUCGUGUACUCAAAUUUACAAAGUGGGAGUUCACAUGCUACCUUACCUAAUUGUGUACUCGCGUUGGAUCUGUUGGGGUUGGAUUGUCACGAUCGACGUAGGGUUUUGCUCUUAAAAAAAGGUGACCUUUAUUCAUUCCACAUUUGUUGAUGGCGACGCGGAUAGACGUACGAACUCAUUUUGAUUCCCAGUGUGGGAGUAACCAAAUUGCCCAAGAACAGCACGUGAAGAAAGAAAACAGAGCAUGGCAAAUGUUACAUUUUUUUAGAUAUUUUAUUUUUGAGAAGAACUAAGACGAGUUAAGGAUAAAUUCAUUAAUAGACAAUUAUCAGUACACUUGUAAAUCAAACUAAACAUAUAUGAGAAAAAAAGGGGGGAAAAACCUAAACACUUGUAAAUCAGCCCCUACUUCCUUGAGAGGCCAAAAAAAGGGGAAAGAAACUUAACAGGGAAGAAGCAAGAAGCUCCCAACAAAAAGAGGAAGGUAACCGAAAGAGAAGAAGAAAUUCCAAUUUUCAGUAUGUAUACUUCUGAUAUCUCUAGUACUAGAAUCUAUGAUAAAGUUAGAGCUAAAAUAGAAAAGAAAAAGAACGAACACAUUUUCUUGCUUGGUACGGUUCCCUUGAUCGUCUCCCCUCCCUUCUGCCGUUGUAUCACACACGCAUCCCAAUGUAAUGUGAUUGAUUAAUCGAUUGCUCGCAAAAAAAAAAAUGUAGCGACGAUAUGAUUGGUAUAUUCACUGCAUCCUCCAGAUGUCGUCGAGGCUCCAGAGCUGGGUGGUGGUCUCCGGCGAGACGCCGUCGGAGAAGCCCUGCACCCAGCCGGUGAGGUCCUGCAGCGGCAGGUCGGCCUGGAACUGGAACAGCUGGUGGUGGUCGCCGCUGCCGGCGGCGGUGAGCUGCUGCAGCGCGGACGCCGUGGACCAGAACUCCUGGUCCUGCUGCUGCAUCGCCGCCCACUCGUCGCCGCCGCCACCGACCGGCACGGCGUCGCGCGCGGUGGAUUCGGAUGACGUGUGGGAGCUGGAGGACGAGGUGGUGGUGGCGGUGGUGACCGCGCUGCAGGGGGAGCGGUCGUCAUCGUUCUCGUUGUUCAUCAUCAUCGUCAUCACCUCCGGCACCGUGAUGAGGGUGGUGGAGACGGCGGCGCCGCCGGAGACGAUGGCCGCCGCCGCUUGCUGGUGGUGCUGGUGCUGGGCGGCGGCGGCGCGCUCGGCGAGGCGCGGCAUCCAGAGGAAUCGCAUGGCGUCCUUGAAGCGGGCGCUGUUGACGUCGCAGUUGAGCUGCUUGGCGUGCUUCUGCACCCGCGUCCGCCAGUAGUUCUUGAUCUCGUUGUCCGUACGACCCGGCAGCUGCGCCGCGAUCUUCGACCACCUGCAGCGCACAUGAUUUUUUUUUUUUUUUUGCUUCAGUUCAUUAUUAAUGAUCCAUCAAAAUUCAAAACAAACGUGCUUAAUUACACUGCUAACCACUGUUCUGCGUGCGUACGUGCAAAGCAUCUACUAGUGUGAAAAAAAGACAAAAAAAUAAAAGAAAAGAAAAGAAGAAGCGUGCGGGUUGCGAACUUGCAGUACACCUUUCAGCGUCAGCACUCAGCAGCUAGCGAGAUACGCAUGCUUAUUCAAACCGUAUACGAAUCUACGCUACGUAGUAUACAUGUACAUGUACAGUAGUCUCUUUUUCCCAAAAGCUACGACGACGAUACACACGUACAGUAUUCUCUGUUCGUGCAUGCGCGUCAC